UUGACCUCGGAUCAGGUAGGAUUACCCGCUGAACUUAAGCAUAUCAAUAAGCGGAGGAAAAGAAACCAACAGGGAUUGCCUCAGUAACGGCGAGUGAAGCGGCAACAGCUCAGAUUUGGAAUCUGGUCCUUUGGGGCCCGAGUUGUAAUCUGGAGAGGAUGCUUCUGGCGCGGCGCCGUCCGAGUUCCCUGGAACGGGACGCCGGAGAGGGUGAGAGCCCCGUACGGUCGGACGCCUAGCCUGUGUGAAGCUCCUUCGACGAGUCGAGUAGUUUGGGAAUGCUGCUCAAAAUGGGAGGUAAAUUUCUUCUAAAGCUAAAUACCGGCCAGAGACCGAUAGCGCACAAGUAGAGUGAUCGAAAGAUGAAAAGCACUUUGAAAAGAGGGUCAAACAGUACGUGAAAUUGUUGAAAGGGAAGCGCCCGUGGCCAGACUUGUGCCCGGCAGACCAUCCGGCGCCCCCGCGCCGGUGCACUCUGCCGGGCGCAGGCCAGCAUCGGUUUUCCUAGGGGGAUAAAGGCGGCGGGAACGUGGCUCCCUCGGGAGCGUUAUAGCCCGCCGUGUCAUGCCUCUGGGGGGACCGAGGACCGCGCAUUUAUGCAAGGAUGCUGGCGUAAUGGCCACCGGCGACCGU
rnacentral:rRNA from 2 species